GACGAACGCUGGCGGCGUGCCUAAUACAUGCAAGUAGAACGCAGUUGCGAACGGGUGAGUAACGCGUAGGUAACUGCCUCAUAGCGGGGGACAAAUAUUGGAAACGAUAGCUAAUACCGCAUACUGCGAGAUGGACCUGCGUUGUAUUAGCUGGUUGGUGAGGUAAAGGCUCACCAAGGCGACGAUACAUUGCCGACCUGAGAGGGGGAUCGGCCACACUGGGGAUGGGGCACGGCCCAGACUCCUACGGGGGGCAGCAGUAGGGAAUCUUCGGCAAUGGACGGAAGUCUGACCGGGCAACGCCGCGUGAGUGAAGAAGGUUUUCGGGUCGUAAAACUCUGUUGUUAGGGAAACGGUAACUAACCAGAAAGGGACGGCUAACUACGUGCCAGCAGCCGCGGUAAUAC
rnacentral:rRNA from 1 species